AAAAAGGGUGCUCGUCACUUUAAUGACGCGUCCGAUACAUAUUGUUUCGGUGGGGUAUGGCUAUCAAGACAUACCCAGUACGUAAUUUUUGAUAACGUGAGGCUGUUGGCUGCCACUUUAGCACCGGCGCCUCC